CACGUAGGGCGCAAGCGUUGUCCGGAAUUAUUGGGCGUAAAGAGCUCGUAGGCGGUGUGUCGCGUCGGUCGUGAAAACUUGGGGCUUAACCCUGAGCUUGCGGUCGAUACGGGCAUCACUGGAGUUCGGCAGGGGAGACUGGAAUUCCUGGUGUAGCGGUGAAAUGCGCAGAUAUCAGGAGGAACACCGGUGGCGAAGGCGGGUCUCUGGGCCGAUACUGACGCUGAGGAGCGAAAGCGUGGGGAGCGAACAGG
rnacentral:rRNA from 1 species